rfam:Mesocricetus auratus contig008710, whole genome shotgun sequence.
CUCACCCGGGGCUCCUGUAGCUCAGGGGGCAGGCCUGAGCCCUGCGUCUGACCCACGACCGUCCAGCCCCCCGACGGGGCACCCGGUCCUGAGGGGAUCCGCACUGAUCCCCACCGAGGCAGGGGAUCUGACCAACUUGGAGCUCAGCUGGAUGUUACAGGCGUGCAAA